AUUAGAGUUAAUGUUCACUUCCUGCUGUGCUUUCUGCUCAGCUUCCUUCCUGGAGCCAGGAGCCAUGUAGGAAACCAGAAGCUGGUGUUUCUCAACUAGGCUUGCAUAUUAGAAUCACCUGGGCAUCUUUCUCCUCACUACCCAGGCUCCACCCCAGAGCAAUGCAUUCAGCAUUUCUAAGCAGGGACCCAGGCAUCCGUACUUUGUGAAGUUCCCUGGCCGAUUACAAUGUCCAGUCAAGGCUGAGGGCUGCUGAUCCACAGUUUAUAGUCACACAGGCCUCAAACCUUUGCAACCUCGUGGUGUCUGCUUGGAAUAUUGCACUUAAGGCAUCAUCUGCAUCUUCGUACAGCCUGCUUCUGCAGAGCUCUGGGAGGGAGCCGGCAGCGUCCCAUACUCCUGCAUCCAUGCAGCCUCCAGCAAAGCUACUGGGACAAAGACAGACAAGGGCAGUGGAGCCUAGAAAGGCCAGUUGGGCCCCAAGGAGAGUCUCAUAAGCCUUGAGAAAGUUCCAUCCUGCCCUUGUGAAAAGUCAGGGAGGAAAAGUAGCUCCAGAGCCCCGCAGCUGCCAUUCCAAGAUUAUAUUUUGCUGCAAAGGCCCUCUCUCCUGACUCACUUAGAGGAGCUCAGGGAGACACAGUCUUCACUUGGUGGAGCCCUCUGAGCGGCCAGGAGGGUUCAUGUAAAGAUUUUUCCAUCCUACUGACAGUGGCAGAUCCGGAAGCCAUUGGUUGGGGNNNNNNNNNNNNNNNNNNNNNNNNNNNNNNNNNNNNNNNNNNNNNNNNNNNNNNNNNNNNNNNNNNNNNNAGCCAUUGGUUGGGGUUGCUCCAGAUACCGUCAGACAGCAGCAGCCCCAGCCCCUGGAGCCCCACCUGUUUCACUCAGAGCAUCACUGGCACAGCCCCAGGAACAUUGGACCUUGGAGCCCUUGUACUCCUGCCAGAACUUCCCUUCAAGAAAAAGCCACGGGCCCGUGCAGACAGACAUAGGAGGCUGCCCUGCCCUUCAAUCCAGAGCUCCUGCUCUUGGCAAGGCACUCCAGGCUGCCUCUCAUUCAUUCCAAGGCCAUUGGGGUCUCUUCAAGUAUCUAAGAAAAAGGCCAGCUUUUGUGGGAAGCAAGAAUUCAGUUUAAUUGAAUAGAAUACCCAUCCUUGUCCCUCAGCCUUCCCAAAGGCAAAGCCAGUCAACAGGAAGUUCUGACAGGAAGGCACAGCUGUGCCACUCACAGUCACAGUCAGGGGGAGAGCGUGGGGAAGUGAGAGCCUGGUGUGGGGGAGCGAGGUGGGGGGGUGUGGGGAGGAUGCACAGAGAGCCCCACUGACAGCAGUGCUGGACAACAUCAAUAUUUGGAGAAGGAGAGGAUGUGUGGUUAGGUCUAUUUCAUCUGAGUUCUUUAGUCUUCCUCUUGCAGAAGGGAAAAGAUUUGGCAAGUCAGAAGAGAUCCAUUAAAGACUGACAAACUUGUCAACAAGUCUUCCUCAGACACUGGUGCAGAGGGUCAGCGAGGGGGUAGAUGGAGCAGGCGCAGGCAGGGAGGGUUGGGGGUGUCAGCCUGUAGGCACAGGGCACAGGAUGGCCUUCCUGCCCCUUGGAUUGCUGUUUCUGGGGCCCAAGCUCCACAGAGUGCUGUCAUAUCUGCUAUUGAGGCAGAGCCUGUGAACUUCGCAGCAGCCUCUGCAGCAGUGAGUAAUGAGUAAAGGUGAACUAGCUUCCAUGUUCUUCGGGAAAGUGCCAUGUGAAGGUUCAGGGCGGCUGGCAAUACCUUCGAGUGUCUGCCAAGGAGCUGCUGGCCCUUCCUGGCUCUUGGAAAUGAGGAAGAGUCUGGAAGCCAAGGGCAGUUGAUUGGGUCUGCACCUGGGUACUCUCAGACCCCAGAGACCUGGCCGGGCACCAGGUUUAUCGACAGGGAAUUUGCCACCAGCUACCUUCAUGGAAGAUGGACUCUCCUCUGUGGAGUCUGUGCUUCAGGAGUCCCUGGAAUCUGUGGAAGAGUCAUUCCAGAGCCACCUGCACAGAUGACUAGGGAAGUGACCAGGGCCUCUGGCCAUUCCUCCUUGCUACUCAGGAAAACACUGGAAUUGGCUCUGAGUUAGUCUCCCAAGGCAGCUCGAGACAAGGCCACUUCAGCAACCAGGGUACACCACUGGGCAGGGUGACCUUGUCAGCAGCCACAAACAAAGCACAGGUUCUCCUAGUGAAUAUCCUGGGGAGCUGGGGUUGGGGACCUGGGAGCUGAGGUUCUCCCUGAGCUCACGUGGCGUUGCUACAUUACUGGGACCCAUUUGUUGUCCUCGUUGUAGAGGAAGGACUGCUUCCCUGGGUGCUCGGGCUUGUAUGUGGCUGAGGAGAGAGAGAGAGAUGGUGUUAGGAGAGAAAGACCAGGAGCUAGAGAGCUUUCUACCUCAGAACUGGAAAGGCCAGGGGAACCCUGUUUCAGCCCCUCCAUCACACAAGUGUGGAGAGAAGGAGAGAAGAGAGAGGGAGAGAGAGAGAGAGGGAGGGAGAGAGAGAGGGAGGGAGAGAGAGAG
rnacentral:lncRNA from 1 species